rnacentral:lncRNA from 1 species
GCUUACUCUGGUUGUUGCGGCAUAUCUAAUCACCAUAAAAUAUUUGUGGGAUGGCUUGGAUAGUUAUCUCCCCAAUACCCCACUGGCAAGUGAUGAACAAAGGAUGAACUACAUCAGUCUGCUGUUAUCAUUCAUUAUCAGAUGAGCUAUUCGUUCAACAUGCAAUAAAAUGGCGUCUUCUAUGAAAACAAACAUCCUUUAAGAUCGUUAAACCUCUCCAAUGUGUCUAACACAGGGUAGCCUACGUCAAAUGUCUACAAAUCCAAAAUAUAAGAAUCAUGUCGGACUUUGGUCAAAUUAUCCCCCAUUUCUGCUCUCGUGCAGUUUUCAGUUUCCAUGCAAGGCGGUAAUAUGUUUAUAUGUUUAAUGUGAGAAAAUAAAAACACGUGUCCAUAACUCAUAUAAUGUCAUAGGGAAAACAAUGCUCUCCAUUUCACCUACACAAAUCAGUUAUGAGUCCAAUUACUGUACAUCACACUUGGAUAAUCAAUUUAGGGGUGUUUUCAUUAUUUCCUUAAAAUCAAAUUAAUUGUAUGACCACCAAGACUCUUAUCAGGGGACAUUAUGAUAAUGUCAACUUUUCAGACUCAUGAUAUACAUGGAUUUCAUUUCCCCCCUCUAUAAUACCAUAUAAUGUUAGUGAAAUGUUCAAAAUAACAGAAUGCUAUUGCACAACCAAGAAAGGUUCCACUUGAACUUUAAAUAUCCAGGAAAACAUAAGUAACACACCAUACAGUAUGUAUACACUGAAGCGUGACCAUAAGCAAAUACAUUAAGGCCACAGAGAGAGAGAGAGAGAGAGAGAGAGAGAGAGAGAGAGAGAGAGAGAGAGAGAGAGAGAGAGGUCUAGCCAAAAGGGACGCAACAGAGACAACACUGUGAGUAGUGGCUGAUUGAGAAGGGAAAGGUGAACAGACACACUGCUCGGUCACCUCUUCUCUUCCAGGGCCAUGGGUGGUGACAGUGGACCAGAGAGAGCAAGACAAAGUGGCAACAUCAUAUGAUCACAGUUGGGGCUAAAGUCUUGCCCUGGGCAACGGACCCCUUGCGCCAGUAAAUAAGAAGGGAAAUACCUCAAUGAGAAAACAGUGCCUCAGCUCCACACAUACCAGGGAGUCAGAACAUGGGAUGAGAGAGGUCUUAGGGUGCAUGGCCUCUACAGCCAACAGAGCACCUGUAUAAGGACUGUAGGUGAGGAGUAGAAGGAGGGACUUCACACGUUCCCUUCGCUACAACCGAGCCCACAGUAUUCAACAUCCAUUUUCACCUGGGAGCCGCCUACUUCACCCACGCUAUGAUGGAAAAACAUCUGUGCUAUUGCUAAUAACGUCUACCAUGUCUACUGGACACUAUUGUCCUUGCAUGUUUUCGUCUUAGUUGCCACUAUGGCAGCACAAUGAGAAAGGUGUGUGUUAGGCUUGGAGAGGGAGGGAGAGAGGGAGGGGGGACAGGUAGGGCCUGGUGAGAGGGGGAUGUGGGGGCUGGGGAGCCAGGUGCUGGCGGAAAUUGCCAGACUAUUGCUAAAGCGACCUCAUGCCAGGAUAAUGCAAGGGCCAUAGGUGUCCCUGAGUCAAUCCAAACCCUCAUGCUGAUAGUCUUUCAAUGCCUGUGGGACAAUCUCUCCCGUAAUUGCUUUUUCCUGUUUCAAUUCUCCUCUGGACAAGGCCUAGGAGAGACAAAAGAGAAAAUAUUUUGUUUUCAGCUUUGCAAAAGUGCACAACCAUUAUUUAUGUGUCAUGUUUUAGCAUUUCUUAUUUAUUUGAAAGUGCAAAUUGUGUCUCUCACUUGGAUUAUUGGUCACAAACAUUGAGUGUUUUUGUUGUUGUCGUGCAGC